rnacentral:rRNA from 1 species
UACGGAGGAUGCAAGCGUUAUCCGGAUUUAUUGGGUUUAAAGGGUACGCAGGUUGUUUGAUAAGUCAGUGGUGAAAGUCUGUCGCUUAACGGUAGGAUUGCCAUUGAUACUGUUGGACUUGAAUAUGGAUGAGGUAGGCGGAAUGUGUAGUGUAGCGGUGAAAUGCAUAGAUAUUACACAGAACACCGAUUGCGAAGGCAGCUUAUUAAUCCAUCAUUGACGCUGAGGCACGAAAGCGUGGGGAUCAAACAGGA